rnacentral:rRNA from 1 species
UACGGGGGGGGCAAGCGUUGUUCGGAAUUACUGGGCGUAAAGGGCGCGUAGGUGGCCUUCUAAGUUGAACGUGAAAUCCCUGGGCUCAACCCAGGAACUGCGUCCAAGACUGGGAGGCUUGAAUCCGGGAGAGGGAUGCGGAAUUCCAGGUGUAGCGGUGAAAUGCGCAGAUAUCAGGAGGAACACCGGUGGCGAAGGCGGAUCUCUGGGCCUUACCUGACGCUGAGGCGCGAAAGCUAGGGGAGCAAACAGG